GACGAACGCUGGCGGCGUGCCUAAUACAUGCAAGUAGAACGCAGUUGCGAACGGGUGAGUAACGCGUAGGUAACUGCCUCAUAGCGGGUGAUAACUAUUGGCAACGAUAGCUAAUACCGCAUACUGUGAGAUGGACCUCCGUUGUAUUCGCUAGUUGGUGAGGUAAAGGCUCACCAAGGCGCCGAUACAUAGCCGACCUGAGAGGCGGAUCGGCCAAACUGGUGCUGGGACACGGCCCAGAACCCGACGGGAGGCAGCAGUAGGGAAUAUUCGGCAAUGGGCGAAAGUCUGAACGAGCAACGCCGCGUGAGUGAAGAGGGUUUUCGGAUGGUAAAGCUCGGUUGGUAGAGGAGCGGUAACUAACCAGAAAGGGACGGCUAACUACGUGACAGCAGCCGCGGUAAUUC
rnacentral:rRNA from 1 species